rnacentral:rRNA from 1 species
ACCGCCCUCUUUCUUCAUGCCUAACACAUGCAAGUCGAGCGAGCAUUUCGGUGCUAGCGGCGGACGGGUGAGUAACGCGUGGGAACGUGCCCUUUUCUGCGGAAUAGUCCUGGGAAACUGGGGGUAAUACCGCAUACGCCCUUUUGGGGAAAGAUUUAUCGGAGAAGGAUCGGCCCGCGUUGGAUUAGGUAGUUGGUGGGGUAAUGGCCCACCAAGCCGACGAUCCAUAGCUGGUUUGAGAGGAUGAUCAGCCACACUGGGACUGAGACACGGCCCAGACUCCUACGGGAGGCAGCAGUGGGGAAUCUUAGACAAUGGGGGCAACCCUGAUCUAGCCAUGCCGCGUGAGUGAUGAAGGCCUUAGGGUUGUAAAGCUCUUUCAGCUGGGAAGAUAAUGACGGUACCAGCAGAAGAAGCCCCGGCUAACUCCGUG